GGGAAGCGUGAGGAAGGGGCAGGCGCGGCGCUCUUCCGAAGUCGGCAAACCAGAGACCGACGAUGAAGGAGGUAGGGAACGGCGCGUUCUGCCGCAGCUGGAACUACUGCGGCCAGAGGCUUGCAGUCGGCUACGACGACGGGUCCAUCUCCAUCCACGACUCCCUCGACUCCUCUUCUUGUUCCUCCAAAUGGAAGAGAUUUUUGGGAGUUUGAAGAUGUGCAUCAACAUCAGCUACCAGCUGUAGAGUAGGCGUUCCCAGGUGACAAUGGUGAUAGGGCAAAUGCUGUAGCUUGGGCUCCCAAUGUUGGCAGCUGUCGCAACUUGCUAGGGGAUUGCAAUAUGGCAUGUAAGGUUGAAUCCUGAGUCUGAGGGAAGACUCUCAACAGAGAAGGUUGCCUUACUUUCUGCCCAUAAUAAUAGGUAUGGCAACUGGGGGAGGAUGAGUGGCGAUGACAUAAGCAUCAACAGGUGCUGAUGGCAUGAUUAUGGCAGUCCCACUUAAAUGGUAUAUGGCAUGAACAGGCAGCCCUUGAAUGCAACAGGUUGCUGCAAUGAGAAGACCAAUCAGGCUGCUGAUUGCCUCGCUACACUUACCUUGAGAUAGAAAAGCUGCAGCAAUUCUUGCAUAAUGGUUACAAUUGUGUGGGGAUAUGUAUCACUUGUAUCUAAACCCCAUGCUUAGGGAAGGAUCUAUGUGCAUUAUCUUAACACACGUUGCAAUGCGGCUUAGCAGAGGAAGGCAUGUCUCAUUCAAAUUGUGGAUGCUUUUUUUUUUUUU